UCAGUCCACUAACACUAGGAUAAAGCUGUGUGGAUUUACUCUCUGAUUCUGAAAUCAAUCAUGAGUCAAACUCUACUCAUUUUAUUUGCCUUUUUACCAUAUGUUUCUGGCAUCUCACUGACCUCGUCUCCUGCACAGAUUAAAGCUCCUGGUCAGUCGGUGAGGUUGUCCUGUCAGAUCUCUGGAUAUGCCCUCACAGAUUAUGGCACAGCUUGGAUCAGGCAGCCUCCUGGAAAACCCAUGGAGUGGAUCGGGAUCAUAUGGGGCAGUGGAUCAAUAGACUCUGGGAAUUCCUUCAAGAGUCGAUUCACUAUUUCCAGAGACACGGGCCGAAAUGAGCUGUAUUUAGACAUUAGCAGCCUGCAGACUGAAGACACAGCUGUUUAUUACUGUGCAAAGACAGACACAGUGGAUCAGUUCAGUGUGAGAAACUGACAAAAACAGAUCUGCAGUUCAUCAACACAGUUACAAACACACAAUAAAUGACCUGCUUCAUGUUCAGGAUCACAUUUAGACACAUUACCACACACAGAAGUAGCUGUAUUGUUAUGACAUUUUACAUUAUUAUUCCCUAAAACAAAGUAGACUGUGUAAAGUUGAAACAGAUGGACAGUUGAAAAACAAUAAAUAAUUUGAGUGUGCAUCACAACUGACCCAUGAUUUUCACUGUACACAUAGUGUCCUCUUCAAUUGGAGAACAUUUAAAGUAUGUACAGUUAAGAUAUUAAACAAAGUCUAUUUUAGGAGCAAGAAUUUCACUUCACCACCUCCCUACAACAUUGAAUCGAUUCUUGUCAUUUUUUGACCACAAAACAGAACUUUAAUGUUUUUGAUCUUUAGUCCGUCCUCUAAAAAUUGUCAUAUUUCAUAAUUUGGUGACCUUCAGUCUAAUUUGGAGAAAUGUGCAAAGUGGUCAGUGGAGUACAGAUAAAAUACACUGUAUCAACAAUAUCUGAUUGUACUGUGUGAGAUGCUGUUCAGGCUUAUUGGAGACAAACUGAUGGAGGCCAUAA